UAUCAGCUUGUUGGUGGGGUAAUGGCCUACCAAGGCGACGACGGGUAGCCGGCCUGAGAGGGCGACCGGCCACACUGGGACUGAGACACGGCCCACACUCCUACGGGAGGCAGCAGUGGGGAAUAUUGCACAAUGGGGGAAACCCUGAUGCAGCGACGCAGCGUGCGGGAUGACGGCCUUCGGGUUGUAAACCGCUUUCAGCAGGGAAGAAGCGAAAGUGACGGUACCUGCAGAAGAAGUACCGGUUAACUACGUGCCACCAGCCGCGGUAAUACGUAGGGUACGAGCGUUGUCCGGAAUUAUUGGGCGUAAAGAGCUCGUAGGUGGUUGGUCACGUCUGCUGUGGAAACGCAACGCUUAACGUUGCGCGUGCAGUGGGUACGGGCUGACUAUAGUGCAGUAGGGGAGUCUGGAAUUCCUGGUGUAGCGGUGAAAUGCGCAGAUAUCAGGAGGAACACCGGUGGCGAAGGCGGGACUCUGGGCUGUAACUGACACUGAGGAGCGAAAGCAUGGUGAGCGAACAGGAUUAGAUACCCUGGUAGUCCAUGCCGUAAACGUUGGGCACUACGUGUGGGGGACAUUCCACGUUCUCCGCGCCGUAGCUAACGCAUUAAGUGCCCCGCCUGGGGAGUACAGCUCGCAAGGCUAAAACUCAAAGGAAUUGACGGGGGCCCGCACAAGCGGCGGGAGCAUGCAGAUUAAUUCGAUGCAACGCGAAUAACCUUACCAACGCUUGACAUACACUGUACUCGUUCUGGAGACAGUUCUUCUCUUUGGAGCUGGUGUACA
rnacentral:rRNA from 1 species